rnacentral:lncRNA from 1 species
UUUUUUUCUUUUCUUUUCUUUUCAGUCUUUUUUCAUCUUUUUUUAGGGCUGCGCUGACGGCAUAUGGAGGUUCCCAGGCUAGGGGUGGAAUCAGAGCUAUGGCUACCAGCCUCUGCCAUAGCCACAGCCACGCCAAAUUUGAGCCAUCUCUGCGAGCUACACCACAGCUCAUGGCAAUGCCAGAUCCUUAACCCACUGAGCAAGGCCAAGGAUUGAACAUGCAUCCUCAUGGAUGCUAGUCAGAUUCGUUUCUGCUGAGCCACGACGGGAACUCCUGGUACACAUUGCAAGAAGUACGAAGGAGGAGUUCCUUUUAUGGCUCAGCAGUUAACAAGCCUGACUAGGAUUCAUGAGUGAUGCCAGAAAGAUGGUGCCGGAAAGAUGGUACCAGAAUCCGGGUUCUUGUUCAUGGUGGUCGAAGAAUGAACUCCGUGUACACACAGGCAGCAAACAAGUACAGUUUUUAUUAAAGGCAAGCAGACAGCGCCCAGGGUUACUGGGAGGGGGGGAAGAGCCCCCUUUCUCUAUUGUCCUUUAGGGAUUUUUUCAUUCCUUAAAGUUGGGGGUGGUACCAACGUGGGGUCCAGAGACAUGUGGUUUUCUUCCACUGGCCUGGCUCAGUUACCUAUAUCAAUACUUGUCCAGUAGGGUCCUAGGGGUGGAAAUGUCCUGUAAGUCCCACAGUUUCUUUGCCCUUUUCUUCCCGAAAACACAGGGGAUUAGAGAUUAAUGUCCUUCUGGGUGUAGGUACACUCCCUACAGUAAACAAGACCCGUGGGCAUGUUAUUCCCUGGAGCCCUUAAGCCACAAAUGUUAAUCACAUCAAAAAAUGCAUCGGGGAGUUCCCGUCAGAUCAAACCCACGUCCUUAUAGAUGCUAGUCGGGUUCAUUAACCACCGAGCCUCAUCAGGAACUCCUACAGGUCUCUUGAACCACAGGGAAUAUGCCUGCUGGAAGGAAGAGCGUCAGCUCUAGCAUGACUGGCCUCACUCCACCACAGAGUCGAGGCAGAGAUGAUGGAUGGGGUAAAGGCAGAAGGCUAGAAUAUUCCCAGGCUCCAGGGCAGCAGGAGAACCCCUUUCAAAGAGAACAAAGAGUGCCUGCUGUCCCCCAUUCCAGGGUCUUUGCUGGGCUUCCUGGAAUCUCUUUCCUGAGAUGCUGCAAGUCUUGACAAAGGAUGCGGAGAGGCCCAGGCACUCUGGGGGAGAAAUUAUCCACCAGAGUGGGACUGGAGAAAGGGCAUCCCCAACCUGGCUCCUUCUGCCAGUUCCAUUUCCAAACCUUCCCCAAGAAGGCCCUCUCUGCCCAAAAACAUGAAUCCAGGCAAUACUAUGUUAAGACGAAUCUUAUGAGGAACAAAAAGGUAAACCUGGUGCGUUCUGAGGAAGACUAGUUCCCUAAUCCUGGGUCUUUCUGGCAUGCAUAUGAGCCUCAAAUUUUGUUAAUCUGUUUUGGCUGCACCCAUGGCAUGCAGAAGUUCCCAGACCAGGGACUGAAUUCCAGCCACUACAGUGACAAGGCUGAGUCCUUGCCACUUGGCCACCAGGGACCUCUCUUUUUUAAUGUGGGGAUGACAGCUCCAUUUUUGAGUCACCAAUGAGUUGAAAAGAGUGGGGAGUGUUCAAUUUCCUAUUUCCCAUCAGAGGACAGAGGCAGCAGAUAUCCUAUAUUCACAGCCCCGCCACACCCCUGAUGGCCCCAGACCUCAUUAACUAUGGGACCUUGUCUGCUAAAUAAUGCAUGUUUGCACCCAAAGAUGAAAACCAUUUGUCAUUCCUGCUCUAAAUGUAGCUCUGCCUUAGCCCUACUAGCCCACGAGGUAGACCAUGGGAAUGACAUCCCCUGGAGUUUUGCAGUGCACAACUUGUGCAUCCCUCCAUGAGGGCCCUUCCAAGGUGAGAGAUAGCUCUGAAGGCACCAAGGGGAGGAUGGAGUAGGGGGUAGCGAUGGGGGGCUUUGAUACUGUGACUGAGCAGGGCCCUGUUAGUCUCCUGGGCACACAAGGCUCUCUGUGUCCUCCACUUCUUGUUUUUUAGGGAAUAAGCUUCAGCCUCUACGAUCUUCCCUGAGUUCCAAAGGGCAGUUGCUAAUGGAGGAAGGGUGGGGAUGCAAAGACCGGAGAGGAGCAAUUAAGAGACAAUAGUGCAGCCUUGGGGCAGGGUCCUGGUUCCUCCUCAAGGAAUAUACAUAACAAUAUCUCAGCCUCUCUGCAGAACUAAAACCCCCAACAAAUAGAAGAACUACUUGAUGACACAUUCUUCAUUCCGGGAGGAAGGAGGACCACCAGAACCAGUCCUGGGGGCCACUAAACACCAGCUUAGAAAGACAAUGGCAAGCUUGCCACAGAUCCUUAUCUGUGGCCCUAUUUUCCACUCCCCAAACUAUAAAGCCACCUCUUAAACCCUUCCAAAGUGGGCACAGUCUUUAGGGCGUUAGCCUGUUGUAGCCCCCUUUGCCUGGCAAAGCAAUAGCUAUCUUUUUCUCCUCCUCCCAAAACUCUGUCUCUGCUUUCUAUCUGGCAACUGCAGAUGGAAGCCAGGUUUUGGCAGUAAUACUCUCCCACUGCCCAGGGAGUACUCCUUUCUCUCUUACACAUUGGACUUAUUAGUAAGGACCUCAGUGGAACAAAGCAUCCAUUGCUAAUAACAAUGACACAUCUUGUGAAGUACUGUCACAAGAGGGGGGCUGAUGAAGUCACAAACCUUGGAGCCUCUCACUGCCUGUGUGACCUUGGGCAGAUGACACCACCUAUCUCCCCAUGUGACUGAGAGAGAGAGAGAGAGAAGGCAGGUGCAGUGCAGUCAUAGAGGGACCACCUGGUAAAUGGCAGUGUGAUGACAAUGGAAUUGCAAUCGAGAGGACAGUCAUUUCCAGACUCUCUGAACCUCAGCACUGUUGACAUCUGGGGCCAGAUCAUUAUUUUGUUGUGGGGGCCAUCCUGUGCCUCGAAGGAUAUUUAGCAGCAGCCUUGGCCUCCAUCCACUAAAGUCUGUCCCCCCCCCCCCAAUUAUGAUAACCAAACAUGUUUCCAGAUAAGGAGACUAAAUCACCA